rnacentral:rRNA from 1 species
GACGAACCAUGCAAACGUUAUUCGGAAUCACUGGGCUUAAAGGGUGCGUAGGCGGUGCGGAAAGUUGGGUGUGAAAUCCCUCAGCUUAACUGAGGAACUGCGCUCAAAACUUCCGUGCUCGAGGGAGAUAGAGGUGAGCGGAACUUAGGGUGGAGCGGUGAAAUGCGUUGAUAUCCUAAGGAACACCGGUGGCGAAAGCGGCUCACUGGAUCUUUUCUGACGCUGAGGCACGAAAGCUAGGGGAGCAAACGGG